GAUGAACGCUGGCGGCGUGCCUAAUACAUGCAAGUCGAGCGAACAGACGAGGAGCUUGCUCCUCUGACGUUAGCGGCGGACGGGUGAGUAACACGUGGAUAACCUACCUAUAAGACUGGGAUAACUUCGGGAAACCGGAGCUAAUACCGGAUAAUAUAUUGAACCGCAUGGUUCAAUAGUGAAAGACGGUUUUGCUGUCACUUAUAGAUGGAUCCGCGCCGCAUUAGCUAGUUGGUAAGGUAACGGCUUACCAAGGCAACGAUGCGUAGCCGACCUGAGAGGGUGAUCGGCCACACUGGAACUGAGAAACGGUCCAGACUCCUACGGGGGGCAGCAGUAGGGAAUCUUCCGCAAUGGGCGAAAGCCUGACGGAGCAACGCCGCGGGAGUGAUGAAGGUCUUCGGAUCGUAAAACUCUGUUAUUAGGAAGAACAAAUGUGUAAGUAACUAUGCACGUCUUGACGGUACCUAAUCAGAAAGCCACGGCUAACUACGUG
rnacentral:rRNA from 1 species